CCUCACCCGCAACAUGGCAGAGACACGGGCGCCUCGUAUCAUGUGGAUAUCUAUGCGACAAAAGGGGCAGACCGACACCAGAAAUGUCUGCACAGUACACCUACCUGCACGACUCCCUCUUCCCAGCCACGGAUCACUUCCUGUUUUCCUAUUUUAAACCUGAAGGGCUUGUCCCUGUCACGGGAGGAGUCAAACUUGCGUCCAUCCGUCAGAGAGCCUGAGGAGGAGGAAAUGAGAGGCAGAGAGGAUUUAUUUUGACAAUCUGUAACAGAGAUGGUGGCAUGUCUUGUUACGUUUCAACGUAAUCAUUUUAGAACUGGACUGGGGGUGCAAUUCCUGUACUAAAACCCAAACUAACUUGAGUUCCAGCAGGCAGACGAACACUUAAGGUGAAAGACGUACAUCCUGUGGCUCUUGUCGGUCUACUUCCAUGUCUACUGUUAUGCAACACAACAAGGGACAAAACCGACAGUUAAUGAAGCAUUAACAAUAUAUCUUCUGAGCUAGUGUAAAACUAUAUCCCUGAAUGCAAAUGAAGGGAUUCCACCGAUAGCAGAAAUAGCCCCUGCAGCUGUCUCUGGGGGUGGGCAGCAAAGUGACAGGAAAAUGUGGCCAUAACUGGGCGUCUGCACUCGGCAAUCCAUCCCGAGGAGGCGUUCAUUGUGUACUGUUGUUGUUACCACCAAUCAGGCCAGGAGGGGGCUAAUCUCUGGCGUGCACUGCUGUGGGGCACAUCAGGGGGCAAGAUAUAGAUAGUAAUCCCAGACGUGGCGGGGUUGGGUGGCCAGAUUAUUAUUUUUUUUCUCUCUCUCCCUCUCUCUGCGUUGGCCAAUAUAAUGAUCUAUUAAGGAUGGAAUUUUUAAUGCAAAAACUUUUUGAGUUGUAAUUUCUUUGAUGUCGAACGUUAUCGUUGUUGACAGUCUCAAAAAUAUCCCGUCAGGGAGCAGAUUUAUGCAAAUAGGAGACUGACUUAUCAUGAGGGCAGAGGAGUGUAAUCAUUGAUGCCAAUGGAAGCCAGGCUUCCCCAAAAUAUUUGACCAAUAAAAAAAGAAAAAUGGUAUAAAAUAGUUUAAUCUUUCAUCUCUCUGUGUUUUCAUACUUUCCCUUAAAAUUGGCAAAUGGCUGAAUCUCACUGGAGAAAUCAUCAGAGCGAGGGAAACAGCGCCCCUCUGUCUUAAUAUUUGUAGCCCAUGUAUCUGAUGCUGUCUGGACCAAAAGAGUAUGACAUGUUGCCGCCACAGCAUUUGAUUGAUUGAUGCCAGCAAGCAUUUCACCUCCGUUAAUUAAAAAAAAGCUGAGCUCAACUGUCGGUUGUCCUGGCACAUGCAAAAUGUCCCCCAAAAAAGGAGGCCAGUUUGGAUUUGGCUUUACAUCAAUCAAAUCGCAUCCAAAGCAAAACGUUGUCAGAAAAACUUGUCCGUCCCUGGUCUGGUUGUGUCGUUGUCCUGCAGUAGCUAGCCCUUUCCUAAACCAUGGAUGGAGAUUUGGACUCCAUGAUUAUGAUGGUGAUUCUGAUCUAACCAUAAAUUCAUAUAUUGAGCCACGGGCCUGAGAUGAUUGAAAUGCAAUAUGUAGUCUAGUAGUCUCACGUUAACUAGCUAGUUAACUUAGCUGUUUCAUUGUUGCCCAUGCAAGGAAGUUAGGCUAGCAAGCAUUUUAGCUAGGUAGCCUAUGACAACAAAAACUAAAAGUGUACUGUAUGACAAAGCCAUAUAAUGUUUUACCAACAUGAAAGAGAGGAGAAUGACAUUGUCAUUCAACUAGUCUACAAGUAUGGCGAGUCAACUUUUUUUAAACUUGCAUGCACACACACACACACACACACACACACACAGAGCGAAAGAGAGAGAAAGCUGUACCAUGGACAGUCACAUGAUAAAUUAGCAACAUUGAUUGGACUAAAUUGUCUUUGGUAUCUUUCCGUUUGUUUUCACUGUAGCCUAGUUGAUUUGACGAUGUUUUAAUGUUGAAGUGUAAAUGGUGCAGGAAUAAGGGAGGCAGUUGCUCCCGUUGUCUUCGUGCUGACUUGCGGUAACUACGUGGAUCUAAACCCAGCAGUUGCUCCCGUUGUCUUCGUGCUGACUUGCGGUAACUACGUGGAUCUAAACCCAGCAGUUGCUCCCGUUGUCUUCGUGCUGACUUGCUGUAACUACGUGGAUCUAAACCCAGCAGUUGUUUAGUAAACUGUAGAAAACAUUCACUUGAUGGACCAUGCUGUAGGUCAUUUAACAAUUUGUUACAUGCAAUAUUUGUUUUUGUGGACACCGGGACAUGUGUUGCUUUCUGGUAUUGUGAUGAAACAAGUAUAUGUGUAGUCUAAUUUAUUCCACCCCUGUGACUAUUGUCUUUUUUGUUGUCUCGGCCAUAUUGCAUAUCAGAGUGGUGUAUGAACUAAGGGCUAUAGAGAAAAGAACACAAUUAUCACAGGUUGUAAAUAUGGCUUUUUUUACUGGCUUGGCUUCCCCAGUGAUUUAACUCAAGCACCAGCUAUUGCAUGGGGGUACAGUGCACACAUGAAUAACAGGAAAAUAUCAUUUUCUGGCAGGAAAUCAAAAAGUGGAAAAAAAAAAAAAAAAAUACUGUUGCUAUAGCAAACAUAGUAAAACAUGUAGAAUCUUGCCAGUGGUGUAAAUAUGUUGUGUAUGCAUGAAUCCGAGUAUAAUAGAAGUUACAUGAUAAUCCAAUAAGAGUGUUAGGACUACAAUAGCAGCUAUCCUACAACUAGAUAGCUGACAAUUGAAUAGUCUAAAUCGUAUGAGAACAUGGGAGAAAAUUCUAAAAUAUACCAACCCCUGCAACUAUUACAAUAACACACUAACUCAUUAGUAAACAAUUACAACGAAUGGGGGGGGGGGGGG